UACAGAGGGGGCAAGCGUUGUUCGGAAUUACUGGGCGUAAAGGGCGCGUAGGCGGCCGCCUCAGUCAGACGUGAAAUCCCUCGGCUCAACCGGGGAACUGCGUCUGAUACUGGGUGGCUUGAAUCCGGGAGAGGGAUGCGGAAUUCCAGGUGUAGCGGUGAAAUGCGUAGAUAUCUGGAGGAACACCGGUGGCGAAGGCGGCAUCCUGGACCAAUACUGACGCUGAGGAGCGAAAGCCAGGGGAGCAAACGGG
rnacentral:rRNA from 1 species